ensembl:lncRNA centrosomal protein of 290 kDa-like
GCCCUGCCCCAAAAUAAGCCCCCCGUUGAGUGAAAUCCUGGCCUCCACCACUGUGCAGCAACCAGAAGAAAAUGAUACGACUGUGUUUGAAUAAAUGUAGCUUGUUGUACAUGGAAAAAAAAAUAUCCCCUGAAAAUAAGCCCUAAAAAAUUUAUGUAAGACCCUGUCUUAUUUUUGGGGAAACACAGAGUAUUAAACUGACUUAAUAUCACAGACACACAUAAUUACGAUUGUAACAUGCUGGUAUUUAAUUCUAUAAGUAUGAAUGUGGAUGGUAACUCUUGCAAGGGUUUAACGAUACUUGAAGGAAACUGACAUUCAUCCCAAAAGUCAGCCUACGUAAUCCUUUAUUAUUACAUUUCUCCGCCAGGGCACAAAACAAUUUUAGGCCCCAAGCGUAACUAACACCCAGUCACCAUGGCAAACAAGAAGCGGAUGUUUGAUAGGGGACCUAAAUCGCCUAGUGAUGAGCUCACCGAGUUAGUUCUAUUCGCCUUUCUUUUUCAAAAAAUAAUAUUCCCCCUCUACUGUCCACGGAUUAAGAGCUUGGACCGUCCCUGUGAAGAAGCACAGCUGCAAAAUAUCAUUUGAAUGCAACAGAAAUAGUUCAAUCCGCUUUUGACUCCCCGCUGCCGAUAGAACGUCGUAGGCUCAGACGGGUUAAAGGAAACCAGACAGGCGCUGCUUUGGACAGCCCAUUUUGGGGCUUUCCCGUGCAUUGUGAACUGGUCUUAGAAAAGAGGUUUAUGGCUUGAGGCGUUAAACUUCAAGGCUUUGAGAGUUCCUGGUUUGGAUGGGCUGUCGGGCUCCGCCCCCUCAGUUUCAUUGGUUGCAUUGUUCCCUCGGGGGCGUGGGUGAGCCACGUAACCCUGCCCUCGGAUGUUUGGUUUCCGUUCAGUGUGGGAAUCGGUGGAAGGGAAGCGAAUGGCUUUGCCCUCAGUUCACAGGUGCCUCCAAUGUGCUGGUUCAAACAGAUGGGAUUAACCAGAAGGAACAUGAAAUAGUAAAGAAAAAUGCUCGGGUACUCCAGAUGUACAACAAUUUGCAGAAAAGGUACAAUAAAGAAGUAAAAAUAAACCAAGGACAAAGUGAAACAAUUGCAACACUUUCUGCUAAAAUUAAUGAACUGGAACAUCAGCUUCGGUUAGCAAAACAAAAAGUGAUGGCAUUGGAAAGCAAGAUUCCAGCAAAGAACAAAACAGUUCAGUUGAAAAGAAAAGUUUCAUCUCAUAAAUGCAUGUGUAAAAAGAAGGGGAGCUGUUCUUGCAAAUAUUUAGACCAGUUGCUUGUUGAGAUUCAGCGUCUGAAGAUGGAAAAUGAAACUAUAUCGAAAGAAAGAAGAAUGUUGAGAAAUGAAAUUGCUGCUUUAGACAAGGAUUUUUUUGAUGAAAUAGAAGAUUUAAAAUAUGCUCUUCAAGAAGCCAUAAAAAUGAAUACUCGGUAUGAAAGGUGUUUGAAACAACUAAGUUCAACUUAUGGAGUUACCCUUACAUCAACUUUGCCAGCUGCUAAACAUCGAGGAUCUCUAUAGAAACAGAAUUCAACCAAGAUUAUUAUUAAACUGAAAGUACUGUCGAAAAUUACUUAUUAGGAUAGCAUUAUGUUCAAUAAAAUCAUGUCUAAUUUUUAAACUUUUGCA